rnacentral:rRNA from 1 species
AUGACACGACCGCCAUCACUGCGCCGGCAUCAAAGAAGAAUUAGCAUCAUCGGUCACCGUGAACCAGCAUCAAGUCAGACAGAGCUGGCGCCUGGCGAUUUCAUCACGAUAUAUAUAUGGACCUCACACUACUCUACUACAGCAACUAGAUCGCCUUGCCAUCCCGUCGCGGCAGCAGAGCACGAGACGCGCCUUCUCCGAUCGCAUGGCCGGCCUCGUGUCCCGGCCACGCCGGAGCGUGCAGAUCAACUGGGCGCGGAGGAACUACCAGCGCCUGGGCAGCGGCGGCUCACCGUCGCGACGGAACCUCAGGGUGGCCCGCCUCGGCGGCGCGGCCGGGAGCAGGACGAGGACGACGCCAGCAGGCGCCGUGCAGCGCCGUCUGCGGUGGAUAGCCGGCGUGGCCAGGCCGCGCUGCUGUUGCCGGUGCGGCUGCUCGCGAGGGGCGCCGGGCGGCCGUGCGCGGCGCGGGCGACGAAGCCCUGGGAGCAGGGCGAGCUGUGGGCGAAGCGGGUGCCCUGGGCCCGGUCGACCGCCGGCGGCGACUUCGAGCGGCGGAUGAUGGCGCACAUCUACAGCGCGCUCGUCACACCGGAGCUGCCGGGCGCCGCGCACGGCACGGCCUAA